GGUUCGAUGGUGUAGUCGGUUAUCACAUCUGUCUCACAUACUGUGUGAUCAGAAAAGAAGAUCACACAAGGUCUCCAGUUCGAGUCUGGAUCGAACCA